rnacentral:rRNA from 1 species
GACGAACGCUGGCGGCGUGCUUAACACAUGCAAGUCGAACGGAAAGGCACUGCUUUUGUGGGGUGCUCGAGUGGCGAACGGGUGAGUAACACGUGAGUAACCUGACCUUGACUUUGGGAUAACUUCAGGAAACUGGGGCUAAUACCGGAUAGGAGCUCCUGCUGCAUGGUGGGGGUUGGAAAGUUUCGGCGGUUGGGGAUGGACUCGCGGCUUAUCAGCUUGUUGGUGGGGUAGUGGCUUACCAAGGCUUUGACGGGUAGCCGGCCUGAGAGGGUGACCGGCCACAUUGGGACUGAGAUACGGCCCAGACUCCUACGGGAGGCAGCAGUGGGGAAUAUUGCACAAUGGGCGGAAGCCUGAUGCAGCAACGCCGCGUGCGGGAUGACGGCCUUCGGGGUGUAAACCGCUUUCGCCUGUGACGAAGCGUGAGUGACGGUAAUGGGUAAAGAAGCACCGGCUAACUACGUG